rnacentral:rRNA from 1 species
ACCAUGAAUUUCAGUGCCUUUCCGAGGUGCCUUACCUGUAAAAGACCUAACCGAGUGGUUAACAGAAUUCCUGUGAACAGGAUCAGAAUGAUCAGCGGAAGUCCCCAAACGACUCCGUCAAACCAUGUGAUAAAGUUGUUGAUUUGUGUAAACAUUACUCUUUCCUCCAUCCUUUUGCCUGAGAGAUUUACAGCAUUUUGUGUGCUGCGUACACCUUCGGCGCUCUUCCCUUUUGAUUUGAAGAGACUCUCCUGAGUUUUUUAUUUUUGAAUGAUGCCAGGGCCUUUUUUGUGUACGGUGGUGGCGGUCAUUCGUUUUGUGUAGAAAAACACUGUAACACAGAGUAUCACAUGAAUUGAUGGAUUUCAAUGGGUUUUUUAAAAAAAAUGCAUUUAUUAGAAAAAUUAAUCGACAUAUAAUCGGGAGUUUGGGGAUUUUUUACUCCAUCCUUGCGAUAUUGGAAUUCUAACCUGCGGCUCUGAAUCGAGUCGGGGGACAUUGUUAGGUGGGCAGUUUGACUGGGGCGGUCGCCUCCUAAAGAGUAACGGAGGCGUUCAAAGGUUCGCUCAGCUUGAACGGAAAUCAAGCAAAAGAGUGCAAACGCAGAAGCGAGCCUAACUGCGAGACUGACGGGUCGAGCAGUAACGAAAGUUGGAGUUAGUGAUCCGGUGGUAUGUGAGUGGAAAUGCCAUCGCUCAACGGAUAAAAGCUACCCUGGGGAUAACAGGCUGAUCUCCCCCAAGCGUCCACAGCGACGGGGAGGUUUGGCACCUCGAUGUCGGCUCGUCGCAUCCUGGGGCUGAAUUAGGUCCCAAGGGUUUGGCUGUUCGCCAAUUAAAGCGGCACGCGAGCUGGGUUCAGAACGUCGUGAGACAGUUCGGUCCCUAUCUGUUGCGGGCGUAAGAGAUUUGAAGGGAGCUGUCCUUAGUACGAGAGGACCGGGAUGGACUGACCGCUGGUGCACCAGUUGUUCUGCCAAGAGCAUAGCUGGGUAGCUACGUCGGGACGAGAUAAACGCUGAAGGCAUCUAAGCGUGAAACUCCCCCUAAGAUAAGAUCUCUCAUCCUUUAUGGAGUAAGGCUCGUCGUAGACUAUGACGUUGAUAGGUCAGAGGUGGAAGCGCCGUAAGGUGUGUAGCUGACUGAUACUAAUAAGCCGAGGGCUUGACCU